UACGAAGGGGGCUAGCGUUGCUCGGAAUCACUGGGCGUAAAGCGCACGUAGGCGGUUCCUUAAGUCAGGGGUGAAAUCCUGGAGCUCAACUCCAGAACUGCCUUUGAUACUGGGAGACUUGAGUUCGGGAGAGGUGAGUGGAACUGCGAGUGUAGAGGUGAAAUUCGUAGAUAUUCGCAAGAACACCAGUGGCGAAGGCGGCUCACUGGCCCGAUACUGACGCUGAGGUGCGAAAGCGUGGGGAGCAAACAGG
rnacentral:rRNA from 1 species